rnacentral:rRNA from 1 species
AGUGAACGCUGGCGGUAGGCCUAACACAUGCAAGUCGAACGGCAGCACAGUAAGAGCUUGCUCUUACGGGUGGCGAGUGGCGGACGGGUGAGGAAUACAUCGGAAUCUACUUUUUCGUGGGGGAUAACGUAGGGAAACUUACGCUAAUACCGCAUACGACCUACGGGUGAAAGCAGGGGAUCUUCGGACCUUGCGCGAUUGAAUGAGCCGAUGUCGGAUUAGCUAGUUGGCGGGGUAAAGGCCCACCAAGGCGACGAUCCGUAGCUGGUCUGAGAGGAUGAUCAGCCACACUGGAGCUAAGACACGGUCCAGACUCGUACGGGAGGCAGCAGUGGGAAACAUUCGAGAAGGAGCGCAAGCCUGUUCCAGCCAAACCGCGUGGGUGAAGAAGACCUUCGGGUUGUAAAGCCCUUUUGUUGGGAAAGAAAAGCGGCAGGUUAAUACCCCGCUGUUCUGACGGUACCCAAAGAAUAAGCACCGGCUAACUUCGU